rnacentral:rRNA from 1 species
UACGUAGGCAGCGAGCGUUGUUCGGAAUUACUGGGCGUAAAGAGUGCGUAGCGGUGCCCUAAGUUUGGUGUGAAAUCUCCCGGCUCAACUGGGAGGGUGCGCCGAAAACUGGGGUGCUUGAGUGUGGGAGAGGUAAGCGGAAUUUCCGGUGUAGCGGUGAAAUGCGUAGAUAUCGGAAGGAACACCAGUGGCGAAAGCGGCUUCCUGGUCCAGCACCGACGUUCAGGCACGAAAGCGUGGGGAGCAAACAGG